CUCCAAAGGCACGCUGGCUGCCCAGAGGCGCCAGCGGCACCCGUCUUUGUGUGGCUGCCAGCGCUGCAGGCGGGAGCUGCCGCUGCCAUCGGAGGGCUUCCCCGGCCCCCACAGCAGCUGGAGCCGUCCCUGGUGCUCUGCAGAGGCUCACCCGGCCCUGGGGCGAUGGGUGUGGGGUGUGGAG